GGCCAAGUUUUUAAGGGCGCACGGUGGAUGCCUUGGCACCAGGAACCGAUGAAGGACGUGGGAGGCCGCGAUAGGCCCCGGGGAGCUGUCAACCGAGCUGUGAUCCGGGGGUGUCCGAAUGGGGAAACCCGGCAGUCGUCAUGGGCUGUCACCCAUACCUGAACACAUAGGGUAUGUGGAGGGAACGCGGGGAAGUGAAACAUCUCAGUACCCGCAGGAAGAGAAAACAACCGUGAUUCCGGGAGUAGUGGCGAGCGAAACUGGAUGAGGCUAAACCGUAUGUGUGUGAUACCCGGCAGGGGUUGCGCAUGCGGGGUUGUGGGAGCGAGCUUCGGUCGUCUGCCGGCGGCUGGGUGAGUCAGAAACCAUUGCGAUAGGCGAAGGGCAUGCGAAAGGCCCGGCGUAGAGGGUAAGACCCCCGUAGCUGAAAUCGUGGUGGCUUGCUUGCUUGUUUCCCAAGUAGCACGGGGCCCGAGAAAUCCCGUGUGAAUCUGGCGGGACCACCCGCUAAGCCUAAAUAUUCCCUGGUGACCGAUAGCGGAUAGUACCGUGAGGGAAUGGUGAAAAGUACCGCGGGAGCGGAGUGAAAUAGUACCUGAAACCGUGUGCCUACAAGCCGUGGGAGCGUCGCGCAGGGGACUUUUGUUCUCUGUGNUGUGCCUACAAGCCGUGGGAGCGUCGGGCAUCAGCUUGCUGGUGUCUCGUGACUGCGUGCCUUUUGAAGAAUGAGCCUGCGAGUUUGCGGUGUGUUGCGAGGUUAACCCGUGUGGGGAAGCCGUAGCGAAAGCGAGUCCGAAUAGGGCGGUGUAGUAGCGCGCUCAAGACCCGAAGCGGAGUGAUCUAGCCAUGGGCAGGUUGAAGCGGAGGUAAGACUUCGUGGAGGACCGAACCCACCAGGGUUGAAAACCUGGGGGAUGACCUGUGGUUAGGGGUGAAAGGCCAAUCAAACUCCGUGAUAGCUGGUUCUCCCCGAAAUGCAUUUAGGUGCAGCGUCGUGUGUUUCUUGCCGGAGGUAGAGCACUGGAUAGGCGAUGGGCCCUACCGGGUUACUGACCUUAGCCAAACUCCGAAUGCCGGUAAGUGAGAGCGCGGCAGUGAGACUGUGGGGGAUAAGCUCCAUGGUCGAGAGGGAAACAGCCCAGAGCAUCGACUAAGGCCCCUAAGCGUACGCUAAGUGGGAAAGGAUGUGGAGUCGCAGAGACAACCAGGAGGUUGGCUUAGAAGCAGCCAUCCUUGAAAGAGUGCGUAAUAGCUCACUGGUCAAGUGAUUCCGCGCCGACAAUGUAGCGGGGCUCAAGCGUACCGCCGAAGUCGUGUCAUUGCAGCAUGAGACCUAACGGUUGUUGUGAUGGGUAGGGGAGCGUCGUGUGCCGGGUGAAGCAGCCGUGUGAGCGAGUUGUGGAUGGUUCACGAGUGAGAAUGCAGGCAUGAGUAGCGAUUCACACGUGGGAAACGUGUGCGCCGAUUGACUAAGGGUUCCUGGGUCAAGCUGAUCUGCCCAGGGUAAGUCGGGACCUAAGGCGAGGCCGACAGGCGUAGUCGAUGGACAACCGGUUGAUAUUCCGGUACCCGCUUUGAAGCGCCAGCGCUGAACCAGGCGAUGCUAAGUCCGUGAAGCCGCCCUGGAUCCUUCGGGUGAAGGGGAGUGGUGGAGCCGACGGUCCAGACCUGUAGUAGGUGAGUGAUGGGGUGACGCAGGAAGGUAGUCCAGCCCGGGCGGUGGUUGUCCCGGGGUAAGGGUGUAGCCCGAGGGGUAGGUAAAUCCGUCUCUCAUAUAAGGGUGAGACCUGAUGCCGAGCCGAUUGUGGUGAAGUGGAUGAUCCUAUGCUGUCGAGAAAAGCCUCUAGCGAGUUUCAUGGCGGCCCGUACCCUAAACCGACUCAGGUGGUCAGGUAGAGAAUACCGAGGCGUUCGGGUGAACUAUGGUUAAGGAACUCGGCAAAAUGCCCCCGUAACUUCGGGAGAAGGGGGGCCAUUGCUGGUGAUCACCCUUGCGGUGUGAGCUGGUGGUGGCCGCAGAGACCAGCGAGAAGCGACUGUUUACUAAAAACACAGGUCCGUGCGAAGCCGUAAGGCGAUGUAUACGGACUGACGCCUGCCCGGUGCUGGAACGUUAAGGGGACCGGUUAGUCACAUUUCGGUGUGGCGAAGCUGAGAACUUAAGCGCCAGUAAACGGCGGUGGUAACUAUAACCAUCCUAAGGUAGCGAAAUUCCUUGUCGGGUAAGUUCCGACCUGCACGAAUGGCGUAACGACUUCUCGACUGUCUCAACCAUAGGCCCGGUGAAAUUGCAUUACGAGUAAAGAUGCUCGUUUCGCGCAGCAGGACGGAAAGACCCCGGGACCUUUACUACAGCUUGAUAUUGGUGUUCGGUUCGGCUUGUGUAGGAUAGGUGGGAGACUGUGAAGCCGCAACNCUGGAACGUUAAGGGGACCGGUUAGUCACAUUUCGGUGUGGCGAAGCUGAGAACUUAAGCGCCAGUAAACGGCGGUGGUAACUAUAACCAUCCUAAGGUAGCGAAAUUCCUUGUCGGGUAAGUUCCGACCUGCACGAAUGGCGUAACGACUUCUCGACUGUCUCAACCAUAGGCCCGGUGAAAUUGCAUUACGAGUAAAGAUGCUCGUUUCGCGCAGCAGGACGGAAAGACCCCGGGACCUUUACUACAGCUUGAUAUUGGUGUUCGGUUCGGCUUGUGUAGGAUAGGUGGGAGACUGUGAAGCCGCAACGCCAGUUGUGGUGGAGUCGUUGUUGAAAUACCACUCUGGUCGUGCUGGAUGUCUAACCUGGGUCCGUGAUCCGGAUCAGGGACAGUGUCUGGUGGGUAGUUUAACUGGGGCGGUUGCCUCCUAAAGGGUAACGGAGGCGCCCAAAGGUUCCCUCAGCCUGGUUGGCAAUCAGGUGUUGAGUGUAAGUGCACAAGGGAGCUUGACUGUGAGACUGACGGGUCGAGCAGGGACGAAAGUCGGGACUAGUGAUCCGGCGGUGGCUUGUGGAAGCGCCGUCGCUCAACGGAUAAAAGGUACCCCGGGGAUAACAGGCUGAUCUUCCCCAAGAGUCCAUAUCGACGGGAUGGUUUGGCACCUCGAUGUCGGCUCGUCGCAUCCUGGGGCUGGAGUCGGUCCCAAGGGUUGGGCUGUUCGCCCAUUAAAGCGGUACGCGAGCUGGGUUUAGAACGUCGUGAGACAGUUCGGUCCCUAUCCGCUGUGCGCGUAGGAGUCUUGAGAAGGGCUGUCCCUAGUACGAGAGGACCGGGACGGACGAACCUCUGGUGUGCCAGUUGUUCUGCCAAGGGCAUGGCUGGUUGGCUACGUUCGGGAGGGAUAACCGCUGAAAGCAUCUAAGCGGGAAGCCUGCUUCGAGAUGAGGGCUCCCACCUCCUUGAGGGGUUAAGGCUCCCAGUAGACGACUGGGUUGAUAGGCCAGAUAUGGAAGCCGGGUGACCGGUGGAGUUGACUGGUACUAAUAGGCCGAGGGCUUGUCCUC
rnacentral:rRNA from 1 species